rnacentral:rRNA from 1 species
GUAAGGAAUCUUCCACAAUGGGGGCAACCCUGAUGGAGCAAUACCGCGUGUAGGAUGAAGCAUUUCGGUGUGUAAACUACUUUUAUCUGUGAUGAUUAUGACAGUAACAGAAGAAUAAGGACCGGCUAACUACGUGCCAGCAGCCGCGGUAAUACGUAGGGUCCAAGCGUUAUCCGGAAUUACUGGGCGUAAAGCGUCUGUAGGCGGCGAAACAAGUCGGGUGCGAAAUCUUGCGGCUCAACCGUAUAGACUGUGCUCGAAACUGUUUUGCUAGAGGUAGGUAGAGGCAAGUGGAAUUUCUGGUGUAGGAGUGACAUCCGUAGAUAUCAGAAGGAACACCAAUGGCGAAGGCAGCUUGCUGGGCCUUACCUGACGCUCAGAGACGAAAGCGUGGGGAGCGAACGGGAUUAGAUACCCCAGUAGUCC